GUCAUGUGGAGUGGGCCAGCUUUGAUGAACCUGUCUAAAAGGAAGGAAGAGAAAGAGCUCGGCUCCUUAGGGGAACAAGGAGGACCUUGGCAGCUGUCUCACGCCUCACCAGCUCUUCACCUCAGAUCUUGUCCUGACUUCCUGGUCCACUAACAGCCUCCUGGACAGAAGAGUCAGUUCACCAGCCCAGAAGAUGUUCUGAAAAUUGACAAUGAUCAUGAUAUACCCUGGGUCCAGAAUACUUCUCUGUGCGAUGGAUGUGUAUGAAGACAGACAGACCUGCCAGGCUCCAUCAGGGAAGCUCUGUGUCUCCUUCACAUUGGAGGGACAGAAUAUUAUCUGGAGAUGGAGAAUGCUUCUGAGAGUCUCUAGCACAGGGGUCCCCAACUCCACAGCCUCGGAUGGGUCCCAGUCCCAAUCUGUGGCCUGUUAGGAACCAGGCCACACAGCAGGAGGUGAGCAGUGGGCAACUGAGCAUUACCACGUGAGCUCUGCCUCCUGUCAGAUCAGCCGGUGGCAUUAGAGUCUCACAGAAGCAUGAACCCUACUGUGAACUGUACAAGUGAGGGCUCUAGGUUGGGUGCUUCUUAUGAGAAUCUAAUGCCUGAGGAUGAGGCAAAACAGUUUCAUUCUGAAAUCAUCCCCCCUGCUCCCCAUCUGUGGAAAAAUUGUCUUCCAUGAAACCGGUACCUAAUACCCAAAAAUUUGGAGACCACUGCUCUAGUAGGCCUGCCUACUGGGCUUACUUUGCAUAUAUGAAAUUAAUAAUUAUUCCUCAUUUCAGAAAUUUAAAAUGUUACAUUUAUACUUCUUUCGUAUUUCCAGCAUUGUUCCAAAGGUCAGUCCUAGAAUGCUUUGUUUUAGCUGUUUUUCUUUCCUUAGGCAGAGAACAAAGACUGGAGGCUUCCUCCUGAGCACACUGGGAUGUGGCAUUACGUCGGGGCUGCCGAGUGUCCUUACCUACAGCUACCCAGAUGCAAAGGCAGGAAGCCACAGGCCAUUUGGAUUAUUGCACUUUUCAAAGUACACGGGAAGACUUGAGACCAUCCAGAGAAUGACACAAACAAAAGGGCAGAACGCCUGA
rnacentral:lncRNA from 1 species